AUGCAUGUACACAUACUAUGUAUAUAUAUGUACAUGUAUAUAUACAUUUGGACACAAGGUGUCUCUCUCUCUCUCUCUCUCUCUCUCUCUCUCUCUCUCUCUCUCUCUCUCUCUUCUCUCUCUCUCUCUCCAUAUACACAUAGGCUGGGGAUGGAGCUCGGUGCAGAGACCCUGGGUUCCAUUCCAAAUAUUGAAAAACAAUUAUUUCAAAGUGAGGUACUGGGACAAGUAGCUUCAGCAUCACGUAGGAACUUGAUAAAACUGCACGUUCUCCUACCUACCAAGGCUAUUUUGUUUUUGCUUUGUUGUCUCUUUCUUUUGGUGGCACUGGGAAAGGAACCCAGGACCUCACAUUUGCUAGGUCAGAACUGUACCACUGAGCUACACCUCUAGGUCUACUUGGUUUGACCGUAUUCAAAGCUCUGAAGGGGGCCAGGGAUCUACCUCAGUGGUUCGGCUGCUUACCUCACAAGCAGAAGGUCCUGAGUUCCAUUGCCAGUACCAAAACAAACAAGCAAACAACAACAACAAACUGGGAAGGUGGGUCCCACCAAUCUACAAUUUUCUGCAGGCACCUCAAGUGAUUCUGACUUUGAGAACUUGACUAAGCUUCCCCCUGCCCGCUCCAAGGAGCUUAGGAUUCCUAUGGCAGGACUGUUCUUACAUACGUACCUACAUACAUACCUACCUGUGUGCCCCUAGGUAAACGGCAGGAAAACCAGGAAUUUAUCUCCCAGCCUAAGCCUCUCCUCUCACUCUAUACCAUGUCCAACAACCAAGACACCCUAAACUCAAGGUCAUGAAAAAACCCAGGAUUCUCCAGGGCCGGGGAUUUAGCUCAGUGGCUCUGUCGCUUGCCUUGCAAUGCAAGCUCAAGGCCCCGAGUUCGAGCGCCGGUACCAAAUACAAACCAACCAACCAACCAACAAAACACCCCAGGACUCUCUACUUCCCUCAAGCUGGUUCUCCUCCAAUGGGCUUUAUGAUCACCAUUUGGAAGGACAUUCUCUGUAGCUAUACACACGGACCCCAGGGAGAGAUACCAGGGCAGGACCUUGAAUCAGAUGUGAGGGAGCAAGGAUGAAACAAAACCAACUCGGGCCAGGGAAUUAGCUCAGUGGUGCAGCUGCCUCCCUGGCAAGCGCAAGGUCCUGAGUUCAAUUCCCGGUACUGGAGGGAAUAAAAACCUGUGAGGCCAACAAAAUGAAUUCCAAGACCUUGCCUGUUUUAGGAGGAGGAUCAGCUGGUGGAAUAAAUGAUUCAAGUUUUCGAUUCGGGAGGCUAGAGCUUGAACAAAGUAAAUUUAAAUGAAGCAGAAAGAUAAAUAGUAACAACAGAAAUUGCUGAUGUAGAAGGAUAAAAAUCAGCAAGGGCUCACCAAGAACUCCCAAAGCUGGUUCUUCCAAAAGAUUAAUAAAAUAAGCGAUCAUGAAGCACGUCUGGCCAAUAAACACUAGUGUUGAAAAAGGUAACAUCGAUAUCUCUAUUUCUUAUCUCAUCUCUUUAUUCAUUUUUUAUCUUUCUGUCUACUAGAUCUUCUAAAUUGGUACAAAAGUUGAGGCAAAUUUCAUUAAAAAGCAAUACCAAACAGUCAACAAAGAAAUGGCUAACAAAAGUACUUGCUCCAAAUUGUAUUGUCUAUAAUUUGCAUACUGUCUCUUUUUGUAUUUUUUAGCCAACCUUCUGGACAUAUUUAAACCCAUUUCUCUACUUCUCUUUCU
rnacentral:lncRNA from 1 species